CUCUCUCCUGUGCCUUGUGAAGAAAGUGCCUGCUUCGCCUUCACCUUCGGCCAUGAUUGUAAGUUUCCUGAGGCCUUCUCCGCCUGCAGAGCUAUAAUCCUCUCUCCACAACUUGAUAAUGCACAAACUGCAAAUCUUCUGGUACUCACUGCUGCAAGCAAACUUGAAGUCUUUCUGAGCCUGACUCUUCAUUCCUGCCUUGUGUGACCCAGGGAUGGAGGACUGCCCUCCCAACUCAUUAUCCUCUUUGCCCAGGAGCUGUACAUACAAAGGUGGUGAUUCCAAAGAAUUAGAGCAAACAAGCUGGAGCUGGAAUCUGUCCUGUUAUAAAAAAUCUGUUCCGCCCAAUCACGAGAAUGUAUGGGUCAAGGUUACAGCCAAUGCCUGCAAAUCACCACCGUGUGUUUCAUUGAAGAAAGUGCCCUGCUCAACCUCAAAUUCUUAUCUUUCAAAUGAUGAAGAAAAUGUCACCUUAUGGACAUCAUCAAAAUCUUCUUUCUGUAAUUGAAAUGGAAUUAAAAGUGAUUUCCUUGGUUUACAGCAAUAGCUAUAAAAUAAACCAAGCUGUCUCUUUGUUUAUUCUUCAGAAAAGUGAAACACUUGAGUUACAAGGAAUAAUCAGAGACUAAUGCCAAGACAUCCCUGAGAGUCCUCCAGAAUGAUGGAGAACCACAUUCCAUCUCUCUAAAUUGGGAGCAUAUUGUAGCUUUGCAGCAUAGCAAUAGGAGGUAUCUUUCUGGGUCAUGGCUUGAUGUUGCAGAAGUGGCAGUGGAGCCUCCAAAAUCCCUGCCUUCCUCAUCCCUUCCAGCUCCACAGGGCUCUGGAGAGGCAGACAAGGUUCUGCAAUGCUCACCUCAAAAACAGUGCUGUAGGAAGCACUUGGCGGGGUACUGCAGUCAUAAACACUCCGGGAUUCCAAGAUCCUGACAGAUGCCUAUGUCACCAAAACUCAAAUUUUAUACUUGGCUUCAUGUGAUACUCUUUUUUAUGAUGCAUAUAUGAUAUGGAACAACUGCUGCUAUGGAAUCACCCAGAAUAAAAGUGACCCUCUUGGAAAUGCCUCCAUGUAUGUGUGAGUGAGUGAGUGACAAGCUGUGACUUGUACUGUCUACUCUGUGUAGCACCUGGGAAAUGUGUCCACCUUGCUCCUUGUCACAGUCUGACUGUGGCUACACUACGCGUCGGUGAUCACUGUCCAUCGGGCAGAAACUCUCUCCUGAUUCUUGCAUGAAAAAAACACUAGUUCAUUCAUC
rnacentral:lncRNA from 1 species